GACGAACGCUGGCGGCGUGCUUAACACAUGCAAGUCGAACGAAGUGGCGAACGGGUGAGUAACGCGUAAUCAACCUGCCCUUCAGAGGGGGACAACAGUUGGCAACGACUGCUAAUACCGCAUACUGAAGGAGGGGAUUGCGUCUGAUUAGCUAGUUGGAGGGGUAACGGCCCACCAAGGCGAUGAUCAGUAGGCGGUCUGAGAGGAUGAACAGCCACAUUGGGAAUGAUACACGGCCCAGACUCCUACGGGGGGCAGCAGUGGGGAAUCUUCCGCAAUGGACGAAAGUCUGACUGAGCAACGCCGCGGGAGUGAGGACGGCCGUCUGGUUGUAAAGCUCUGUUAAUCGGGACGCGGUACCGGAAUAGAAAGCCACGGCUAACUACGUGCCAGCAGCCGCGGUAAUAC
rnacentral:rRNA from 1 species